AAUAGAUACCCUGGUAGUCCACGCCCUAAACGAUGUCAACUAGCUGUUGGGGCCUUCGGGCCUUGGUAGCGCAGCUAACGCGUGAAGUUGACCGCCUGGGGAGUACGGUCGCAAGAUUAAAAUUCAAAGGAAUUGACGGGGACCCGCACAAGCGGUGGAUGAUGUGGAUUAAUUCGAUGCAACGCGAAAAACCUUACCUACCCUUGACAUGUCUGGAAUGCCGAAGAGAUUUGGCAGUGCUCGCAAGAGAACCGGAACACAGGUGCUGCAUGGCUGUCGUCAGCUCGUGUCGUGAGAUGUUGGGUUAAGUCCCGCAACGAGCGCAACCCUUGUCAUUAGUUGCUACGAAAGGGCACUCUAAUGAGACUGCCGGUGACAAACCGGAGGAAGGUGGGGAUGACGUCAAGUCCUCAUGGCCCUUAUGGGUAGGGCUUCACACGUCAUACAAUGGUCGGGACAGAGGGUCGCCAACCCGCGAGGGGGAGCCAAUCCCAGAAACCCGAUCGUAGUCUGGAUCGCAGU
rnacentral:rRNA from 1 species